GACGAACGCUGGCGGCACGCCUAACACAUGCAAGUCGAGCGGAGAUUGAGAGCUUGCUCUCAUGAUCAGCGGCGGACGGGUGAGUAACACGUGAGCAACCUGCCUUUCAGAGGGGGACAACAGUUGGAAACGACUGCUAAUACCGCAUAACAUUGCCGAACGGCAUCGUUUGGCAAUCAAAGGAGCAAUCCGCUGAAAGAUGGGCUCGCGUCUGAUUAGAUAGUUGGUGAGGUAACGGCUCACCAAGUCGACGAUCAGUAGCCGGACUGAGAGGUUGAUCGGCCACAUUGGGACUGAGACACGGCCCAGGACUCCUACGGGAGGCAGCAGUGGGGAAUAUUGCACAAUGGGGGGGAACCCUGAUGCAGCGACGCCGCGUGGAGGAAGAAGGUCUUCGGAUUGUAAAACUCCUGUUGUUGAGGAAGAUAAUGACGGUACUCAACAAGGAAGUGACGGCUAACUACGUGCCAGCAG
rnacentral:rRNA from 1 species